rnacentral:lncRNA from 1 species
AUAGAAUAGUGCAUACAUUAAAGCAACCGCAGGCAAUGCAGUAUGUUAAUGGAAUAACUGCACAGUACAGUGACCAUGAAAAACAAGAUUAAUGAAGUCAGGCAGCAUGGACGUCCCAAGGAGUAGCAGCGAAAUCCAAGACGCAGCUUCUUCACUAGAGGUGAAUUAUUCCCCAUAAAAUGCUUUGGUAGGAGAAACUCACACAAACUACAAAACCCAAAUGCCAUAGGACAUUGGUUUCCUAAGGAAAUUCUUCCAAAAUAGGAUGCUGGGCAUUUGCAUGUAUAGUGGAGGGAGAAAGUUCCUCCUCACCUUGCCCUUAUUUUGAGAUACAAUGUGGCUUAGGAAUUCCUGGUAGAAGAGGACAAGGGAUAGGCUUGCCACUGUCUCUUUGCAUUCAAAUUUAUUCACAGUUCCUCGCUGGGAACUUCCUUAACCCCUCGCCUAAAGCAGCACUCAAUAGCUGCAAGCAAGAGCAGACAGAGCUACGCUGUUUUAAAAAUGCCUGUUGCGAGAGAGGAUCUGCGUGUAGAUACUUGAGCUACAGCUGCUACCUGACUGUUCCUAUUAGGAGGGUUGGCCAAAGUUUUCCAGUCCCAAGACUUCUUCACCCUACAUGCUAGAGGGCUAAUGAUAAGGAUUUCUUCCAUCUGAUCAUAACUGGAUCAUCUAUCAGUGCUCAAAGCAAGGGCCACUGCUUCAUUGAAAGUAUCAGAUCGGAUGAAUAAAACAGCUGUUAAAUGUUUACAUUCAUCCCCUUCAGUGCCCUGCUGUCAAGGUAUCCGUGAGCAUCUUGCACUGUUGACUAGGCUUCCUCC